AUCGUUACAUUGAUACGAUAUAUUGCGAUGUUCUUGUUUUUCUUUCGUAAACAAACCCUGAUUAUAUUAUAUUCAAGGAAACAGCAAGUAACCAUUAACAUUUAUAGAGGAGAAUGAAAAUAAGUUACGCAUUACAGUUGGCCAACUAUCUACUUGGUGGUGAAAGAGCAAGUGCUCUUCAAGAACUCGGUUUCUUUGUACCCAGGACAAGGUUGUUUGCGAUACCAAGGGCCAGAACCAGUCGGUUGCACAUAUUAACAAAACCGUUGCACCUACUGAAUGCGGUCUCCGAUACUAUCGAAAUCUUUAUACGUUCGAAAAUGCUACUAUGAAAAUAAGAACAGACAUUUACCGUUAUUAUGGAAAAUCUCAAACUCCCUUAGUCGUUGGUUUAAAGGUCUAAACAAAAACGUCUUAAAUAUAGACAAAUAGCUGGACUUAGUAUGAAUUGGGCUGAAGUAAAUCUUACUUUAUGAUUCAAAGGUAAGGUAUAUAAUCUCAACCAUUUUUCUACGUUACGCAGUUAAGUGUUUUCUGGAGCUUAUAAUACUUUGAGCUUUUUGUUGGAUAUAUGACAUUGGCUUUUUACAGUAAGUAUGAAAAAGGUGUUCGAAAAACUUAAGGGAAUUGAACUUUACCGAAACUCAUGUGACGUAAUGAACAUAUGCUCUUUUACUAACACUGUAAUGUUAUGACUGCCUGGUAAUAAGAAAGGGUGACAAAUAACGCUUUGACGCUGAAAUUUUCAAAUAAGCUUUAGCAACACUAAUUUUAUGUUACCCUGAUGAUGGAGAACUUUGGAAACCUGCCAUUAUUAUAAAGCUGGACAAUUUAAGAAUUUCCGUAAGUACCGGAAGCAAGGGGGGGACCUUAGGAGGUCAUUGGCUGUAGUAAUUAAAAGAUUACAUAAUGCCAUCCUUUGUCUCGGCACGUUGCAUAUUCAGCAGGGGUCGUGAUCCAGUUCUUAGGAUAUAAAUGCAGGCAUACAUUUUCGACACCUCGUAACUCCUUUUUUAAUAGGUCAAGAAUUAACGUAAAUUGGAAUUACGUACUUCC